rnacentral:rRNA from 1 species
UCUUGGCUCAGGAUGAACGCUAGCGGCAGGCCUAACACAUGCAAGUCGAGGGGUAACAGGGAAGCUUGCUCCGCUGACGACCGGCGCACGGGUGCGCACCGCGUAUGGAACCUACCUUCUACAGGGGAAUAGCCCAGGGAAACUUGGAUUAAUGCCCCGUGGUACCACGUUACGGCAUCGUUCUGUGGUUAAAGCCUUCGGGCGGUAGAAGAUGGCCAUGCGUCCCAUUAGUUUGUUGGUAAGGUAACGGCUUACCAAGACUACGAUGGGUAGGGGCCCUGAGAGGGGGAUCCCCCACACUGGUACUGAGACACGGACCAGACUCCUACGGGAGGCAGCAGUGAGGAAUAUUGGACAAUGGAGGAGACUCUGAUCCAGCCAUGCCGCGUGCAGGAAGAAUGCCCUCUUGGGUAGUAAACUGCUUUUAUACGGGAAGAAAAAGGGGCACGUGUGCCCUGUUGACGGUACCGUAAGAAUAAGGACCGGCUAACUCCGUGCCAGCAGCCGCGGUAAUACGGAGGGUCCGAGCGUUAUCCGGAAUUAUUGGGUUUAAAGGGUCCGUAGGCGGGCCGGUAAGUCAGGGGUGAAAGUCUGCCGCUCAACGGUAGAACUGCCUUUGAUACUGUCGGUCUUGAGUUAUGGUGAAGUUGCCGGAAUAUGUAGUGUAGCGGUGAAAUGCAUAGAUAUUACAUAGAACACCGAUUGCGAAGGCAGGUGACUAACCAUAUACUGACGCUGAUGGACGAAAGCGUGGGGAGCGAACAGGAUUAGAUACCCUGGUAGUCCACGCCGUAAACGAUGGAUACUAGCUGUCCGGGUCCUUGAGACCUGGGCGGCCAAGCGAAAGUGAUAAGUAUCCCACCUGGGGAGUACGUUCGCAAGAAUGAAACUCAAAGGAAUUGACGGGGGCCCGCACAAGCGGUGGAGCAUGUGGGGUAAUUCGAUGAUACGCGAGGAACCUUACCAGGGCUUAAAUGCAUUUUGACAGGGGUGGAGACAUCCCCUUUUUUCCUUCGGGCAAUUUGCAAGGUGCUGCAUGGUUGUCGUCAGCUCGUGCCGUGAGGUGUCAGGUUAAGUCCUAUAACGAGCGCAACCCCUACCGUUAGUUGCCAGCAUGUCAUGAUGGGGACUCUAACGGGACUGCCGGUGCAAACCGUGAGGAAGGUGGGGAUGACGUCAAAUCAUCACGGCCCUUACGUCCUGGGCCACACACGUGCUACAAUGGCAGGUACAGAGAGCAGCCACGUCGCAAGGCGGAGCGAAUCUAUAAAACCUGUCACAGUUCGGAUCGGGGUCUGCAACUCGACGCCCGUGACUCUGGAAUCGCUAGUCUUCGGAUAUCAGCCAUGAUCCUGUGAACUACGUUCCCGGGCCUUGUACACACCGCCCGUCAAGCCAUGGAAGCCGGGAGUGCCUGAAGUCCGUCACCGUAAGGAGCGGCCUAGGGCAAGAUCGGUAACUAGGGCUAAGUCGUAACCAAAGUAGCCGUACCGGAAGGUGCGGCUUCCC